AUGGGCAGCGGGCGGAAGCGGCCGCGGGGGGCCGGGGAGCUGGGGCGGGUGGCGGAGAUCGUGAUGGUGCUGGCGGCUGCCGGGGAGGCCCGGGGCGGCAGGGCGCCCACAGCGGCGGAGCGCGCGCUCGUGGCGGAGGCGCGGUGGCGGCUCGCGGCGUCGGUGGCGGCCGUCGAGAUGCGGCCCAAGGAGCUGUACCCGAGGGAGGCCGUGCGCGCGCUCGUCGAGGACCUCGGGCUCGGCCGCGCCAGGGAUCCCGCCGCCAUGGGCUACCGCCCCCGCAGGGCCUCGAUCGCCGAGAGGGUCGUUCUUACCAAGCGCAAGAUGGAACAAGUCAACGAAUCUCUAGUACGUCCAACCAUUAAUAUUCCCCAGACAACAACCUCAAGUGCAAAUGCUAUAUUCCAGGAUGGAGUUUCCAAGUCCACCGCUGAAUUAACCAGGAACCUGUCAGCUGCUGGGUCAUUCCCUGCCUCAACCCCAACCCCAAUAACUAUGUCUUCUUCUAUCUUGAAGCAAUCCCGACCAAAUGAAACACCAGCAGGAGUAUCUUCUUCCAAAUCAGCUAACCUUCCUUCAAUUGUUUCUCUGCCACCGGUUGGUUCUGCGAAUAUUGAAGUGGAAAAAGCUGUUAAUUGUCCUAAUUUCAGAAAAAGUGGAGCAACUAUUGGCCAGACAAAUAAAUCAGCUCAUUUUACUGCUACUAGGUCCAGCCAAAGCAGAGUCCAGAGUUCUAGUGCAGGGAAAUCUCAUGAAAAGAAGGCACCUUCGGCUCAACCUGUCAACAGGAACAUUGCUAUAGGAGAUCAUGUUCCACCGGGAGCAGCAGCAUUUGUUCAACAGGAACCCUGCUUCUCCAAUCACAAUGCGAUAGCGAAAAAUGUUCAACUGGUUCUGCACCAACCUGCCAACCAUCCUAGCUGGACGGUACCAUCAACUGAGUAUAUGCAUGCUCGGCUGGACUGUCAAAUAUGUAAAACAUUUAUCACUGAUGUGGAGAGUUUGCUCGUUUGUGAUGCUUGCGAGAGGGGUGUACACUUAAAAUGUCUAAAGCAGGAUGGGAAUGAAGGCCUGUCAAUUGUAGAUUGGUAUUGUCCAACCUGUGUAACGUAUAGUAAGGGCAAACCUCUGCCUCCAAAAUAUGGCAAGGUUACAAGAACAAUUGUUGCAUCAAAGGCUAGAGGUGUAACUUCGCAGAGAGCACCAGGAAACCCACGCACAAAAGAUAGUGAAGAAGUGGCAGGAAAUGGAAGUUUUAUCAAGCAUAACUCCAGUGAACCUGGUAGGUCUGUACGUAACAGUGACAUGUUGGCCUUAGACACUGCUAGUUCAAAAGCACAAUUGGCCUCUGCUUCUGAAUAUCAAAAGGAAAACACUAAACAUACUGACACUCUGUCCAAACAAAAGGAAGGACAUGGCCCACCUUCAAGAAGCUUAGUUACAAAGACCAUGGAAUCCUCCAGUCAAAUUGAAAGUAGUGGAGGAUCAACAUAUAGUGCUGCUGGAAAUCUGUCGGAACAGUCUCAUAAGCAAAGAGAGACCAUUGAGUUACUUCCAUGUGCUGUGAAUUCAGUAAAUGAUUCCACACUACAGACUACUGCAAUUUUUUACGGAGGAAAUUCUGAACAUUCCUUCAUUGACUCAUCUGAAAUGUGUGGAAUAGAAGGAAACUCUGACCAACUUCUGAACAAGGACGAACAAACAACCAGCAGCGGUAGAACACCAGCAGAUCAAACACAUCAAGAAGAUGUAGCCGCUGAUAUUGGAAUAGGGUGUCCUCAGGAUGAUGAAACAACAGAAGUUAAUGCCAUGUCAGAACAUAACAAUGUGUAUCUGGUGACAUCAAACAUGGACUUAUGUGCUAAGCAUGAAGUUAUGGCAGGUCCAAAGAGUGAAGCUUUAGGUUACAGCUCAGAUCUUGGUGAUGUGGAUUGGGUUGGCGAUGCCCUGAAAGUUGUGGGCAACAUAACUUAUUAUAACUCCUGUAUUGUUGAUGGUAUAACAUACAAUCUCCAAGAUCAUAUUUUGAUUGGUUCCAAAGAUGGCAAGUCUGCUCCAUCCAAGCUGCAGUCACUGUGGGAAGAGCAUGGCUCCCAAUCUAAGCUGGCUAUGGUUAAUACAUAUUUCUUUGCUUCGGACAUUCCAGAAUCGGCUACCAAACCAUGUUCUCCUGAAGAGAAUGAGGUAUAUGCUUCAAAUGAUCAAAGAACAGUAAUGAUUUCUUCAAUUUGUGGCCCAUGUGAUGUGUUGCAUGUUGACAAGUUUAGAGAAGAGACUAAUAGAAGAAAUCAGGUGGUCAGUUCAGAUAGUGAGCUACAUCCAAUUUUCUUUGGCAGGUGGAAGUAUGAUGAAUGCACAGGCAGUUUUGUUAGUGUUGAUAGUUCGAUGGUUUUCUGA
rnacentral:rRNA from 1 species